rnacentral:rRNA from 1 species
CCUACGGGAGGCAGCAGUGGGGAAUAUUGCACAAUGGGGGAAACCCUGAUGCAGCGACGCCGCGUGAGUGAAGAAGUAUUUCGGUACGUAAAGCUCUAUCAGCAGGGAAGAAAAAAAGCCCUUUUGACUUUGGACGGUACCUGACCAAGAAGCCACGGCUAACUACGUGCCAGCAGCCGCGGUAAUACGUAGGGGGCAAGCGUUAUCCGGAUUUACUGGGUGUAAAGGGAGGGUAGACGGCAGAGCAAGUCUGGAGUGAAAUGCCGGGGCCCAACCCCGGCACUGCUUUGGAAACUGUGCGGCUGGAGUGCAGGAGAGGUAAGCGGAAUUCCUAGUGUAGCGGUGAAAUGCGUAGAUAUUAGGAAGAACACCAGUGGCGAAGGCGGCUUACUGGACUGUAACUGACGUUGAGGCUCGAAAGCGUGGGGAGCAAACAGGAUUAGAUACCCUAGUAGUC